GACGUAGGGUGCAAGCGUUGUCCGGAUUUACUGGGCGUAAAGAGCGCGUAGGCGGCUCGUUAAGUGAGAAGUGAAAGCUGUGGGCUCAACCCACAAACCGCUUUUCAUACUGGCGAGCUGGAGUGAUGCAGAGGUGGAUAGAAUUCCUGGUGUAGCGGUGAAAUGCGUUGAUAUCAGGAGGAACACCGGUGGCGAAGGCGGGUCUCUGGGCCGAUACUGACGCUGAGGAGCGAGAGCGUGGGGAGCGAACAGG
rnacentral:rRNA from 1 species